UGGGGAAUCUUGCACAAUGGGGGAAACCCUGAUGCAGCGACGCCGCGUGAGCGAUGAAGCCCUUCGGGGUGUAAAGCUCUUUCGGCAGGAACGAUCAUGACGGUAACUGCAGAAGAAGCUGCGGCUAACUACGUGCCAGCAGCCGCGGUAAUACGUAGGCAGCGAGCGUUGUUCGGAGUUACUGGGCGUAAAGAGUAUGUAGGCGGUUCUCCAAGUCUGGUGUGAAAUCUCCCGGCUCAACCGGGAGGGUGCAUUGGAAACUGGGGGGCUGGAGUGCGGGAGAGGGAAGCGGAAUUCCUGGUGUAGCGGUGAAAUGCGUAGAUAUCAGGAGGAACACCCGCGGUGUAGACGGCUUCCUGGACCGUAACUGACGCUGAGAUACGAAAGCGUGGGGAGCAAACA
rnacentral:rRNA from 1 species